CCAGAACCAUUAAGGUACGCGCACUUUAUUUCAAAGUACUGGGAAUCAAUCCAACAUACGAGCUUCUCCAUAGGAUCAAAAUCAACAGCAAUCACGUGCCCAAUAUUCUUAAUCGGCAGUUCAAGAUCUCUGUGUUCUUCAGUACUCAAUGAUAGAAUACGUAUUUCACUUCGUUGAGUAAGCAACAAGAACUUCUGAGGACC